UCGGGAAUUUUGGGCAGUGGGCGAAAGCCUGACCCAGCAACGCCGCGUGAGGGAUGAAGUAUUUCGGUAUGUAAACCUCGAAAGAAUGGGAAGAAUAAAUGACGGUACCAUUUAUAAGCUCCGGCUAACUACGUGCCAGCAGCCGCGGUAAUACGUAGGGAGCAAGCGUUGUUCGGAUUUACUGGGCGUAAAGGGCGCGUAGGCGGCGCGGUAAGUCACUUGUGAAAUCUCUGAGCUUAACUCAGAACGGUCAAGUGAUACUGCUGUGCUAGAGUGCGGAAGAGGCAACCGGAAUUCUUGGUGUAGCGGUGAAAUGCGUAGAUAUCAAGAGGUACACCUGAGGCGAAGGCGGGUUGCUGGGCCGACACUGACGCUGAUGCGCGAAAGCCAGGGGAGCAAACG
rnacentral:rRNA from 1 species